rnacentral:rRNA from 1 species
CGAGCGGACAGAAGGGAGCUUGCUCCCGGAUGUUAGCGGCGGACGGGUGAGUAACACGUGGGUAACCUGCCUGUAAGACUGGGAUAACUCCGGGAAACCGGAGCUAAUACCGGAUAGUUCCUUGAACCGCAUGGUUCAAGGAUGAAAGACGGUUUCGGCUGUCACUUACAGAUGGACCCGCGGCGCAUUAGCUAGUUGGUGAGGUAACGGCUCACCAAGGCGACGAUGCGUAGCCGACCUGAGAGGGUGAUCGGCCACACUGGGACUGAGACACGGCCCAGACUCCUACGGGAGGCAGCAGUAGGGAAUCUUCCGCAAUGGACGAAAGUCUGACGGAGCAACGCCGCGUGAGUGAUGAAGGUUUUCGGAUCGUAAAGCUCUGUUGUUAGGGAAGAACAAGUGCAAGAGUAACUGCUUGCACCUUGACGGUACCUAACCAGAAAGCCACGGCUAACUACGUGCCAGCAGCCGCGGUAAUACGUAGGUGGCAAGCGUUGUCCGGAAUUAUUGGGCGUAAAGGGCUCGCAGGCGGUUUCUUAAGUCUGAUGUGAAAGCCCCCGGCUCAACCGGGGAGGGUCAUUGGAAACUGGGAAACUUGAGUGCAGAAGAGGAGAGUGGAAUUCCACGUGUAGCGGUGAAAUGCGUAGAGAUGUGGAGGAACACCAGUGGCGAAGGCGACUCUCUGGUCUGUAACUGACGCUGAGGAGCGAAAGCGUGGGGAGCGAACAGGAUUAGAUACCCUGGUAGUCCACGCCGUAAACGAUGAGUGCUAAGUGNUAGGGGGGUUUCCNNCCCCUUAGUGCUGCAGCUAACGCAUUAAGCACUCCGCCUGGGGAGUACGGUCGCAAGACUGAAACUCAAAGGGAAUUGACGGGGGGCCC